rnacentral:miRNA from 1 species
GGAGUGGAGAGGAGUGGAGUGGAGUGGAGAGGAGAGGAGAGGAGAGAGACAGACAGACAGUGAGAGGGAAAGUGAGAAAUCAAUUCCCUUGGGGAUAGCCAUGCUGCAAUCCCUUCUCCUCCAUUCUCCUC